UGGCAAAAAAACUGAAUGUUCUACUUUAUUUAUUUGCACUCGCAGAAUGAUCUAGCAUACUUUCACGGGAGGGAUAGACAAAAAACAGCCCUAGAGCAACCAUCCUUGUGUAGUCCAUCUCUCUUAAGUUCAUAAAAAAUAAAAAGUAAAAUAAGCAGCUCUUUCACUAGCCUAUAGUUGACGUAAUUACUAACAUGCCUGUGCAAAAAUAUCUUCAGGUAUCAGAGCUCGAGCAAGAUUUCUGACAAAAUCAGCAGCUAGCUCUAGUUUGCAUCUGUUCCUGAAUCGCCUUGUAGCAUUGUAGGCUGCAAAGCGGAAGCUUUGACUUCGAAUCUCUAUAUUUUUUGGGGUUAGUACAUGAAGGGCCUGCACACUGUUCGCGCAAAGGAGGGCAGCUGCAUCAACAACAGAACAGUUCAGUGUUUCAAAUCUUUAGUAUUCACGAUCAUCUGGAACGAUAAAUUUCAAGUUCCAGACAGGAUUUUAAACCUGCAGGCUUUAUUGUAGAAAAUACUAGGUAAACCCAUCUCCUUGGGGAAUGUCACAACAGUCCCAUUUGGUCCCAUGACCCAUCUGAUAGUGUUUGAUGCAAGCUUCAGGGCAUUAGCAACCUUCUCCUGCACAAAGCAAAAGAAAAAAUUUGAUUUCCAGCUUCAUAGAGACAACAAAAAUAUUAUAUCAGACACUUGUAAUGCCUUCGCUAACUCUUCCUGAAGCUUCUUUAUUUUGUCUUCUCGCUUCCUUCUGCUGGAAGUUUGACCAAGUAUUUUUCUAAUAGCCUCAGCCUCAGAUUCCCUUGCAGCCUUCUCAACUUGUAUUCUACGUCUCUGAGCAGCGUCAGCCUUCUUUAGUUGCUGCUCCACUUCAGAAAGUUUCUCCUUUUGCUUUCUUAGUGGUGCAGGUGGUAAUCCAUUUGAAAACUCAAUUAAGUUGGCACCAUGUGCAGAGCCAUCUUUGCUUGACUGAAGGGCUCGUUGACGUGUAGUUAGCUUCAUCUCCCUCUUACCAUCCAUCAAUGUAUCAACGGAUUCCUUUUUCUGCUCAAGCUCACCCUCAGAGGCCAGAUCUUCUUCCUUGUAAUCUGUGUCCUUUGAUGCUAUGUCUAAUGUGGACUUCUUCUUCCCAUCAUUCACCAACUUUGAAGCACCAAUUUUCUCCAUGCUGGAAAGCUUCUGCUGUUUCUUGUUUGAUUCUUCAUCACCUUUAUAUCCUGCAGCAAUCUUUGGAGUUUUCAGUUUCGUCAGGUAUCGAAUCUCAUCAUCCUCAUAGAAUUCACCAAUUUCCCAGUCCAAUACACGCCUCUUGGGGAACCGCUUGCUCACAUGAACUGGUUGAGAUUUCUCCCCAUGUUUUCCUGAUGCAUUCUUCCCAGAAGUACCGUCUUUCCCAAGACUAAAACCACCUGCGGAAAAAUCCUUCCAGGGGACACCUUGCAAACCAGUCCUCUUAUGCAAAAUGGAAUGGUCUUCCUCUAAAUUCCCCUGACAAUUCUUCUUCUGCCAAGAUCUGUUUUCUGAGAAUUGAAACUUCUUAGUAGAUGCACCAUCAGUUAUUGAGUUGGCUUGAAUUGUGGGAGCGACACCACUGACCUUUAGCUUAACUUUUCUAACCUUGUUAUCAUUAACUAACACAUCUAAAAUCACACCUGACUGCUCUGAACUCUGACUUUCACCAUUUCUUCCACUAUAAAUAUUUGCACUUCUUGAGUCUGAGUCAAAGGAUUCCUUCAACUUGCUUGUGUUUUUCCAUUUAGCAGGGGCAAGGACACCUUCACUAGAGCGUUUAUUGUUAAAUGCACUUAGUCCUGCAUCAUUAUGGUAGAAUGCAUUGAAUCCUUUGCUCUCCUUGUUCCUCAUAUGGGAUUUUUCACCUUCAACUCCAGUAGAAGAAGAAACACUGGACAUACAUUGAUUGAGAUUGAACUCUUUCCUCCCAGAAUUAGCAUUGAAAUUCUCAUCACUGGAUGCCUUGCUCACAUCAUCUGAAGGUGGCGUGGUUGAUGAGGGUGAAUGUUCACAGCUGUCAAUUACUGGCUGUGCAUCAGGCUUAGGCCGGCAAGAUGUUCGGCUCCUUUUCUUCCUUACAGCACUCCUAAUGCCAUCAAACUGAGGAAGACCACAAUCUUCCAUGAUGACAAAUCCGUAAUAGCCCAGUGGCUUCCACUUAGAUCAUGAGAUAAAGAUAAACCAUAAAAACCAUGAACUCCAAAGACUCUUGAAAAUGCUUUAAGAAAAUUCGACACCAGACGUCCUCAUAGCAGAGAAGCGACAGAAGCAAGGAAAAGGAAAAGGAAAAUGAUUGAGGUACAGGGAUUUGCGGGUGGCGUUUGGUUAUAGUUAUAGCUUUACUGAUGGUUGGAUAGGUAGGAUUAGGGUUAGAGAAGGAAAGAUAACAACAAUGAUGAGAAUGAGAGAGGUAAAGGCAUAUAAGAGGACUAAUAAUCCCCUUCUCGUUCUCCAUCUUUUGGCUAUUGCCAAACCGCACCCUCUGAUUUUUUUUUUUUAAGCUGAGUUGUCUCGUCACUCCUAUGUUGGUUCGGUCACCCAACUCGGUUGAUCCGACUCAGAUAACCCAAUGGCCAGUGUCCCUCUCUCUCCUUCCUUCGUUUCUUUUAUUUCCCCUCUCCUUCGACGCACG
rnacentral:misc_RNA from 1 species